rnacentral:rRNA from 1 species
UAUUUUGACUAUACGAAGGUAUUGAAAUAAGGCUUUAAAUGAGUGCUAAGAGAAUGAUUUAACAGCUAUAAACUUUCUUUAAUUAAAUAAUUGAAUUUGAUUUUUUUGUGAAGAAGCAAAUAUAAUAAUUAGGGACAAGAAGACCCUGUGAAUUUUAAUUAUAUUUAUAAUUAUUAAUAAUUAUAAAUAUAAUUUGAUUGGGGUGAUAUGUAAAGAAUAAAGAUCUUUAUUAUAAAAAUUAAUUUGACCCAUUAUUAAUGAUAUAUUGAAAAAAAUACUCCAGGGAUAACAGCGUAAUAAUUUCGGAUAGUUCAUAUAGAUGAAAUAGUUUGCGACCUCGAUGUUGGAUUAGGAUUCUUUGUUGAUGAAGAAAUUAAUAUAAAGAAGUUUGUUCAACUUUUAAAUUCC